rnacentral:rRNA from 1 species
CUGGCUCAGGACGAACGCUGGCGGCGUGCUUAACACAUGCAAGUCGAACGAUGAUGCCCAGCUUGCUGGGUGGAUUAGUGGCGAACGGGUGAGUAACACGUGAGUAACCUGCCCCUGACUCUGGGAUAAGCGUUGGAAACGACGUCUAAUACUGGAUAUGAUCACUGGCCGCAUGGUCUGGUGGUGGAAAGAUUUUUUGGUUGGGGAUGGACUCGCGGCCUAUCAGCUUGUUGGUGAGGUAAUGGCUCACCAAGGCGACGACGGGUAGCCGGCCUGAGAGGGUGACCGGCCACACUGGGACUGAGACACGGCCCAGACUCCUACGGGAGGCAGCAGUGGGGAAUAUUGCACAAUGGGCGAAAGCCUGAUGCAGCAACGCCGCGUGAGGGAUGACGGCCUUCGGGUUGUAAACCUCUUUUAGUAGGGAAGAAGCGAAAGUGACGGUACCUGCAGAAAAAGCACCGGCUAACUACGUGCCAGCAGCCGCGGUAAUACGUAGGGUGCAAGCGUUGUCCGGAAUUAUUGGGCGUAAAGAGCUCGUAGGCGGUUUGUCGCGUCUGCUGUGAAAUCCCGAGGCUCAACCUCGGGCUUGCAGUGGGUACGGGCAGACUAGAGUGCGGUAGGGGAGAUUGGAAUUCCUGGUGUAGCGGUGGAAUGCGCAGAUAUCAGGAGGAACACCGAUGGCGAAGGCAGAUCUCUGGGCCGUAACUGACGCUGAGGAGCGAAAGCAUGGGGAGCGAACAGGAUUAGAUACCCUGGUAGUCCAUGCCGUAAACGUUGGGCGCUAGAUGUAGGGACCUUUCCACGGUUUCUGUGUCGUAGCUAACGCAUUAAGCGCCCCGCCUGGGGAGUACGGCCGCAAGGCUAAAACUCAAAGGAAUUGACGGGGGCCCGCACAAGCGGCGGAGCAUGCGGAUUAAUUCGAUGCAACGCGAAGAACCUUACCAAGGCUUGACAUACACCGGAAACGGCCAGAGAUGGUCGCCCCCUUGUGGUCGGUGUACAGGUGGUGCAUGGUUGUCGUCAGCUCGUGUCGUGAGAUGUUGGGUUAAGUCCCGCAACGAGCGCAACCCUCGUUCUAUGUUGCCAGCGGGUUAUGCCGGGGACUCAUAGGAGACUGCCGGGGUCAACUCGGAGGAAGGUGGGGAUGACGUCAAAUCAUCAUGCCCCUUAUGUCUUGGGCUUCACGCAUGCUACAAUGGCCGGUACAAAGGGCUGCGAUACCGUAAGGUGGAGCGAAUCCCAAAAAGCCGGUCUCAGUUCGGAUUGAGGUCUGCAACUCGACCUCAUGAAGUCGGAGUCGCUAGUAAUCGCAGAUCAGCAACGCUGCGGUGAAUACGUUCCCGGGCCUUGUACACACCGCCCGUCAAGUCAUGAAAGUCGGUAACACCCGAAGCCGGUGGCCUAACC